GAUGAACGCUGACAGAAUGCUUAACACAUGCAAGUCGAUGGGGGAGGGGUGCUUGCACCAUGGCAACCAUGGCGGACGGGUGAGUAACGCGUAAGGGACUUACCUGCAGGACUGGGAUAACAGGGGGAAACUCCUGACAAGACCGGAUAAUGUCAUGGAUCUGCAUGGCUUUAUGAUGAAAGGAGAUGCCUGCGGAGAGCCUUGCGUUCUAUUCGCUAGUUGGUGAGGUAAUGGCUCACCAAGGCGGAGAUAGGUAGCCGGCCUGACAGGGUGGACGGCCACAAGGGGACUGGGAUACGGACCUUACUCCUACGGGAGGUAGCAGUGAGGAAUACUGGGCAAUGGGGGCAAAGCUGAUCCAGCUAUUCGGUGUGAACGAAGAAGGUGUUCGGAUGGUAAAGUGCUUUCAGCAAAGAAGAAGUAAGUGACGGUACCUGCAGAAGAAGCGACGGCUAAAUACGUG
rnacentral:rRNA from 1 species